GACGAACUGUGCGAACGUUGUUCGGAACCACUGGGCUUAAAGGGCGCGUAGGCGGGCCAUCAAGUCCGGGGUGAAAUCCUUCGGCUUAACCGGAGAAUUGCCUUGGAUACUGGUGGUCUUGAGGGAAGUAGGGGUCUGCGGAACUUCCGGUGGAGCGGUGAAAUGUGUUGAUAUCGGAAGGAACGCCGGUGGCGAAAGCGGCGGACUGGGCUUCUUCUGACGCUGAGGCGCGAAAGCUAGGGGAGCAAACGGGAUUAGAUACCCG
rnacentral:rRNA from 1 species